CCUACGGGAGGCAGCAGUGAGGAAUAUUGGUCAAUGGACGAGAGUCUGAACCAGCCAAGUAGCGUGAAGGAUGACUGCCCUAUGGGUUGUAAACUUCUUUUAUAUGGGAAUAAAAUGUUCCACGUGUGGGAUUUUGUAUGUACCAUAUGAAUAAGGAUCGGCUAACUCCGUGCCAGCAGCCGCGGUAAUACGGAGGAUCCGAGCGUUAUCCGGAUUUAUUGGGUUUAAAGGGAGCGUAGGUGGAUUGUUAAGUCAGUUGUGAAAGUUUGCGGCUCAACCGUAAAAUUGCAGUUGAAACUGGCAGUCUUGAGUACAGUAGAGGUGGGCGGAAGGCGUGGUGUAGCGGUGAAAUGCUUAGAUAUCACGAAGAACUCCGAUUGCGAAGGCAGUUCACUGGACUGCAACUGACACUGAGGCUCGAAAGUGUGGGUAUCAAACAGGAUUAGAUACCCUAGUAGUC
rnacentral:rRNA from 1 species